GAUGAAGAACGUAGCGAAAUGCGAUAAGUAAUGUGAAUUGCAGAAUUCAGUGAAUCAUCGAAUCUUUGAACGCACAUUGCGCCCGCCAGUAUUCUGGCGGUCAUGCCUGUUCGAGCGUCAUUACAACCCUCAGGCCCCCGGGCCUGGCGUUGGGGAUCGGCGGAAGCCCCCUGCGGGCACAACGCCGUCCCCCAAAUACAGUGGCGGUCCCGCCGCAGCUUCCAUUGCGUAGUAGCUAACACCUCGCAACUGGAGAGCGGCGCGGCCACGCCGUAAAACACCCAACUUCUGAAUGUUGACCUCGAAUCAGGUAGGAAUACCCGCUGAACUUAAGCAUAUCAAUAAGCGGAGGA
rnacentral:misc_RNA from 1 species